ACUUACACACACACAAACACUCUUCCUUUCCUUGCUCGCACCAAAACCCACUCGCAUUGCAACCAUAUAAAGUGACACACACACAAACACACUCUCCUUCUUUCACCAUCAUCAUUCACAAUUCAAUCAAAAACCCUAACAGGCCUCGCCGCCAUGGAUCCGGAGGUGCAGCAAUCGCAAGUGGCGGCCAUACUCGGGGCCGAUCCAUCGCCAUUCGAGACGCUGAUCUCGCACCUCAUGUCUUCUUCCAACGACCAACGUUCCCAUGCCGAAGCACUUUUCAACCUCUGUAAGCAAACCGAUCCCGAUAGCCUCUCCUUGAAGCUUGCUCACCUUCUUCACGCCUCGCCACAGCAAGAGGCACGCGCCAUGUCCGCCAUCCUCCUCCGCAAGCAACUCACGCGCGACGACUCUUAUCUCUGGCCUCGUCUCUCACCUCACACUCAAUCCUCUCUCAAAUCUCUUCUUCUCUCUUCCAUUCAAACCGAAAAUAUCAAAUCCAUCUCCAAGAAACUCUGCGACACCAUCUCUGAACUCGCCUCCGGCAUCUUACCAGAUAACGCUUGGCCUGAAUUGCUUCCUUUCAUGUUCCAGUGCGUAUCUUCCGAUUCUCCUAAGCUUCAAGAAUCAGCGUUUCUCAUUUUCGCGCAGUUGUCUCAAUACAUAGGCGAAUCCCUGACUCCUCACAUCAAGCACCUCCACGAUAUCUUUUUGCAGUGCCUUACUUCUCCUUCCGUCAACCCAGACGUUCGAAUCGCUGCCCUAAACGCAGUUAUCAAUUUCAUCCAGUGCCUAUCCGGCUCCGCUGAUCGUGACCGGUUCCAAGACUUGUUGCCCGCGAUGAUGCGCACGUUGACCGAGGCUCUAAAUUCCGGCCAGGAAGCCACAGCUCAGGAAGCUCUCGAGUUGCUCAUCGAGCUUGCCGGCACCGAGCCCAGGUUUUUGCGGCGGCAGAUUGUGGAUGUUGUUGGUGCUAUGCUGCAGAUUGCCGAGGCCGAGUCACUUGAGGAAGGGACUCGGCAUUUGGCGAUUGAGUUUGUGAUUACUCUUGCUGAGGCCAGGGAGAGAGCCCCUGGAAUGAUGAGGAAGUUGCCUCAGUUUAUUAGUAGGUUAUUUACAAUACUAAUGAAUAUGCUUUUGGACAUUGAGGACGAUCCUGCUUGGCACAGUGCUGAGACGGAGGAUGAGGAUGCUGGCGAAACCAGCAAUUACAGCGUGGGCCAAGAGUGUUUGGAUAGACUCUCUAUAUCUUUGGGCGGAAACACCAUUGUUCCCGUUGCGUCUGAGCAGUUGCCUGCAUACUUGGCUGCCCCUGAAUGGCAAAAACGUCAUGGAGCACUUAUUGCACUUGCUCAAAUAGCUGAGGGUUGCGCAAAGGUCAUGAUAAAAAAUUUGGAGCAAGUGGUGGCUAUGGUAUUGAACUCCUUCCCUGACCAACAUCCCCGUGUAAGGUGGGCAGCAAUUAAUGCAAUUGGGCAACUAUCUACUGAUUUGGGUCCAGAUUUACAAGUUAAAUAUCAUCAGGGAGUAUUGCCAGCACUAGCUGGAGCCAUGGAUGAUUUUCAGAACCCACGUGUACAGGCACAUGCUGCUUCAGCAGUGCUCAACUUCAGUGAGAACUGCACACCAGAUAUUUUAACGCCAUACUUGGAUGGAAUAGUUAGCAAACUACUUGUACUUCUGCAGAAUGGUAAGCAGAUGGUGCAAGAAGGUGCCUUAACUGCUUUGGCAUCAGUUGCUGAUUCUUCUCAGGAACACUUCCAAAAAUACUAUGACGCUGUCAUGCCAUAUCUGAAGGCCAUAUUGGUUAAUGCAACUGACAAGUCUAACCGUAUGCUUCGUGCUAAGUCUAUGGAGUGUAUAAGUUUGGUUGGAAUGGCUGUUGGGAAGGAGAAGUUUAGGGCCGAUGCUAAGCAGGUUAUGGAAGUUCUUAUGUCCCUUCAAGUAUCUCAAAUGGAGACAGAUGAUCCAACAACGAGUUACAUGCUACAGGCUUGGGCCAGACUCUGCAAAUGUCUGGGGCAAGAUUUUCUUCCUUACAUGGAGUUUGUCAUGCCUCCAUUGCUUCAAUCUGCUUCACUUAAGCCUGAUGUAAUCAUUACAUCAGCAGAUUCAGACAAUGAUAUUGAGGAUUCUGAUGAUGAAAGUAUGGAAACUAUUACUCUUGGAGACAAGAGAAUUGGAAUCAAGACUAGUGUUCUGGAGGAAAAAGCUACAGCAUGUAACAUGCUAUGUUGCUAUGCUGAUGAGCUCAAGGAAGGAUUCUUUCCAUGGAUUGAUCAGGUUGCAGGAACUUUAGUUCCACUCCUCAAGUUUUAUUUCCAUGAGGAGGUUAGAAAAGCAGCUGUUUCAGCAAUGCCAGAAUUAUUACGAUCUGCAAAGUUAGCUAUAGAGAAAGGGCAAUCUCAAGGUCGGGAUGUAUCCUAUUUGAAAUUUUUGACUGACAGUAUCAUCCCAGCUCUGGUGGAAGCAUUGCAUAAGGAACCUGACACAGAGAUUUGUGCAAGCAUGUUGGAUUCAUUAAAUGAAUGCUUACAGAUCUCCGGUAUGCUUUUGGAUGAAAGCCAGGUCAAAUCCGUUGUUGAAGAGAUAAAACAGGUGAUCACAGCUAGUUCAAGUAGAAAACGGGAGAGAGCCGAGAGGGCCCAGGCUGAAGAUUUUGAUGCUGAAGAGGGGGAGUUGAUUAAAGAGGAAAAUGAACAAGAGGAAGAAGUCUUUGACCAAGUGGGUGAGAUAUUGGGAACUUUGAUCAAAACCUUCAAAGCCUCCUUCUUGCCUUUCUUUGAUGAACUUUCAUCAUAUCUGACACCUAUGUGGAUGCGAAGAUUGCCUGUUUAAAGUUGUGUUAAUGAAAGUUAAGUUCGUUUUAAAUGAACAUUUAAUCUUUGAUAUUGUGAAUAUUUUACUUUAGUUGUGUGGAACAUUAGAUAGAAAUCUAGAUAUAAACUUGCAAAGUUCAUGGUCAUGUAGAUCUAUGUUUGACUCCUAGUUCUGAUCUUUACACCUAUCAUCUCUGAGGUCACAUUUAUCUUCACUCUCUAGUUUGGUACACUUAUCAUCUUAGCUUUCGAGAGUUUCUUUUCAAUGAAAUGAUGCAUUCUACUAUGAUUAAGCUGUGAGACUUACAUCAGGCAGAUUUCUUCUAGGCACAAAGCCCAUGGAUUAAUUUUAAGUCUAAUUUUUGAAAGACUAAAGCAUUUGUCAUUGUUUUGAUUUUUAGUUUGAUGUUUCGUAUAUAGGGAAGGGACAAAACUCCUGAAGAGAGAAGGAUUGCAAUUUGUAUUUUUGAUGAUGUUGCAGAGCAAUGUCGUGAAGCGGCAAUAAAGUAUUAUGAUACAUAUCUCCCAUUCCUGUUGGAGGCAUGUAAUGAUGAGACUCCUGAUGUCAGACAGGCGGCUGUGUAUGGCCUUGGUGUUUGUGCAGAGUUUGGUGGAUCUGUGUUCAAGCCUCUCGUUGGAGAGGCUCUUUCAAGGUUAAAUGCUGUGAUCCAGCAUCCUAAUGCUCUUCAUUCAGAUAAUGUCAUGGCAUAUGACAAUGCUGUUUCCGCUCUUGGAAAGAUUUGCCAAUUUCAUCGCGACAGUAUUGAUUCUGCCCAGGUAGUUCCUGCAUGGCUAAACUGUUUGCCAAUAAAAGGUGAUUUGAUUGAGGCCAAAGUUGUUCAUGAUCAGCUUUGUACAAUGGCUGAGAGGUCUGACAGGGAGUUGUUGGGCCCAAACAACCAAUACCUCCCAAAAAUAGUUGCAGUGUUUGCCGAGGUUUUAUGUGCUGGUAAAGACCUUGCGACAGAACAGACAGCUGGCCGCAUGAUCACUUUACUCAGACAGCUCCAGCAAACUUUACCACCCUCUACACUUGCUUCUACUUGGUCAUCUUUGCAGCCGCAGCAACAGCUUGCAUUACAAUCUAUCCUUUCUUCAUAGUUUUCAUUGCUCUGCUGCAUUAUAAUCCACCAUUUCUUCAUAGCCUCUGGGGUUGGCAGUUGGUGUCUUGCACUUUUUGGAAACAAGCUUUUUCCAGUUUGGUGAUCUCUAUAUUUGUUACCCAUUCUUUUUGCCAUAAGAUGGUUUCCAUCAUUCAUUCUUGCAUGGUGUUUUACAGCAACAUGGCUUCAGUUUUGAGAAUGCGGAGUCAAUUGUGAUUGGAAAGGGAACUUUCUGUAGAAUGUGUAUAUUACAAGUGUUAAUAGUGCGAUUGAGUCCGAAAAGGAGGUUAGGCAAUUGUGGCGUGGGAGCUUCUCGUUCUAUUCCUCUUGUUUCUUUCUUUACCAUAUUGCGUGAGAAUAUAGGGUUGUCUGGGGGGCAAUUCUUGCAGUUUUGGCCUAUUUAUUGUAUUGGUUUUUUUUCAAUCAGACAUUAUGAAGUGUAUCAUAUGAAAUACUAAUGCUAUUUAUUCAUUGAGGUUGCGAACAGUUGUUUUUUAUUUAUAAAUAAUUUGUUGGCUUUUGG